ensembl:lncRNA novel transcript
AAGGAAAAUCGUUUGGGUAAACAGCCAAGCUUCCAGGCUUAACGCCCGGCUCCCGCCCCCGCCCCUCCAUCCCCUCCUGCCUCCCCCACUCGCCUUCAACCCCACCCGCCACCCACACUCGGCUCCGCAGCCGGGCCCCGAGCGAGCUCCGCGAGUCCUGGCGAGAGCCGAGGGCUCCCCGGGUUCAAAGGGCCGCAGCCCCGAGGGAACGCCCUCCUUGCUGUGCCCCGGGGGGCAGAAGCGGACUGCUGGGCGGUGGGACCGGCCUGGGCCACGGAACAGAUGUGGACUUGGGCUGUCCACCCCCACCCACUCUUGCUGAGGUGUCUCACUACUGCCCAGACAUGUGAAUUCAUGUGAGAGCUGGUAUGAGUUGUGGUCACAGGACAAAGGAGGCUAACCGGGCAUGAUUCUCAACUUUGGCUUCAAUCAUGCCAUUUUCUACCAACUAAGCCUCUAGAGUCAAACUUGAAGAACUAUCACGUGGAACUCUUGAAGAAUGGACUUUCUUUCCACAGUGAAUACUUCAUUGAUUUUCGCUGGUUCCCUGAAUAAAGCAGCAACAAACCC